rnacentral:rRNA from 1 species
GACGAACGCUGGCGGCGUGCUUAACACAUGCAAGUCGAACGGUAAGGCCCUUCGGGGUACACGAGUGGCGAACGGGUGAGUAACACGUGGGUGAUCUGCCCUGCACUUCGGGAUAAGCCUGGGAAACUGGGUCUAAUACCGGAUAGGACCACUGCCUGCAUGGGUGGUGGUGGAAAGCUUUUGCGGUGUGGGGUGGGCCCGCGGCCUAUCAGCUUGUUGGUGGGGUGAUGGCCUACCAAGGCGACGACGGGUGGCCGGCCUGAGAGGGUGACCGGCCACACUGGGACUGAGAGACGGCCCAGACUCCUACGGGAGGCAGCAGUGGGGAAUAUUGCACAAUGGGGGCAAGCCUGAUGCAGCGACGCGGCGUGAGGGAUGACGGCCUUCGGGUUGUAAACCUCUUUCAGCACCGACGAAGCGCAAGUGACGGUAGGUGCAGAAGAAGGACCGGCCAACUACGUGCCAGCCGCCGCCGUAA